rnacentral:tRNA from 1 species
GAGGGUACACAGAAGAGACGUGGCGACUCUAGCGCGCUGUAAACGCGUGGCGAAAGCUUUGGUGGUUCGACUCCAUCUACCCUCACCA